CACAAGAACAGUAUGGGGGCAACCGUCCCCAGGAUUCAAUGAUCUCCCUCUGGCUCCCUCCCAUGACAUGUGGGAAUUAUGGGAACUACAAUUCAAGAUGAGAUUGGGGUGGAGACACAGCCAAGCCAUAUCAUUAAGGUGAAAUGAAGUCAAAAGGAAGGGGCCCUACCUCAUACGACUGUGGCCUUAUAAGAACAGGAAGAGACACCGGGGAUGCAGGUACACAGAGAAAGGGCCAUAUGAGGACACAGCUGGGAGAUGGUCAUCUGUAACCCAAGGAGAGAGACUUUAGGAGAAACCAACCCUGCCCACGCAUUGUUCUCGGACUUCCAGCCUCCAGGACUGCAAGAUAAUAAGUUCCUGUUGUUUAAGCCACCCAGUCUCUGAUAUUUUGUUUUACAGCAGCCCAGGUAAACAAAUGCAAUAACAAUAGAAGAAAACUGAUCAGUGGAACAGAAAAACCAACAGAAUGGAUGUCUUUCACCAUGACUAUGAAAAGCUUGGAAAAGGAUUCCACUAAAGCUGACAAUUCUUUCAUAGCUGGAUUACGGAACAGUUGGACAUGAAACAAAAUAAAAACGAUCACAGCUCUCCCUCUGUGCCUGAAGCAGUUUCUAGGGGGAAAUUCAAACAUGAAAAGCCAAGCGGAUGAUCUGAGGUGUUGUUAACUCAAGUGAAGGCGCCAAGCAUCAGGCAACGUGGACUUUCUGACCAGCACCGUGUUCUUGCCUGCAAAGCUCCUUAUUAGUAGGGAUUGUCACAACCCUGGAAAUAAACUUUUCUCAGGUGACACAUCUUCAGUGAGAACAUUGUUUGAGGCCUCUGUGCUCAAGAGACCGUGUUUGGUUUUUGAAAUGUUUAGUUUUCUCCUUUAGAAUGGAAUAGCCUGGGGAGGAAUAAGGAUUGUGGGUGGCACCUGCCCAGGAGAUGCUUUCUUUCUCCCUGUAAUCCAGAUACAAUGCUAUUUUUAUCUAUUAGGUGGCAAAAGCAGCAAUGAUUGUGCCUUUCAUCUUUUUUUAUGAGGUAAAGCUGCAGGCCAGGGGAUGUAUUUAGCUAUUCUGUUCUACAGAGAGCCUUCUGGACAGCUGAUCUUGAACGAUGUGCAGUUGCUAAGGUUGCUAGCUUCUCCAGAGUAAUUCCUGUUGAAGGCUUUCCCACCAUCUUGCACAGUUGGAGUCUGGGGCUGUUAAGAAGUUUAAGAAGAAAAACAAAGCAAAACAGAGAAAACAAACAAGCUCACCAGCUUCAUCAUGUAUAAGAAGCAUGCUGUGAUAUUGAGUCAAUUGGUUGCCCAAUCACAGACAUCUUUCACUGACAGAGUAACAGGUGUGUGGGCUUUGAGCAGUCGCUACACCUUCCCUCUUCAGGCAUGAUGAGAGGAUUCCUGCAGCGUUUUGCAAGAGGGUCCACACUACCUUUAUGAGCUGUAACACUCACCGUGAAGGUCUGCAGCUUCACUCCUGAAGCCAGCGAGACCACGAACCCACCGGGAGGAACGAACAACUCCAGAUGCGCCGCCUUAAGAGCUGUAAUACUCACCACGAAGGUCUGCACCUUCACUGCUGAGCAAGCGAGACCACGAACCCACCAGAAGAAAGAAACUCCUAACACAUCCGAACAUCAGAAGGAAGAAACUCCAGACGUGCCAUCUUAAGAGCUGUAACACUCACCGUGAAGGUCUGCAGCUUCAUUGUUGAAGUCAGUGAGACCAAGAACCCACCAAUUCCGGACACAGAAGGACGAGGAAUGAAGGGUGUUCCGCUUUUCACCUUGGGAAGGAGGUCUCUUUACUUUUUAUUUGAAAAGGAAUUGUUUUUAUUGUUUUCCUAAAGCUGGAGAGUGAAGGAAGCCAUCCUUGAGGAGUCAAGAUAAACUUCGGAUGUAAGGUCUGUUGAUUUAAAGUAGCUUCUCUCUCUCUGAGACAGUAAUAUAAAUGAAGCAUUUGUCUUUCUGCCACUAAUGCAGUUCUGCCGUUUGUAGUGGCCUGGGCUCCCUCUGGGUGGAAUGUUUCACCAGGCAUUGUGAGAAGAGGAGAGCGGGAUUCUGACCCAGGCGCUGCUGCUGGAGGCUCUGUGACACCCGCACAUCAUCACUUAACAUGCAAGGGCUGUCCAUGGUCACUGUCUCUUUACAGUCUGAACGGUCACUGGGUCACAGAAUUCCACCGGGAACGGGAAGAGCCUCUGGAGCAGCGCCCACAGUCCUGCCUUCUGUGCUUGGGAGUUUUCAAAGUGAGUUCUGGGAAAUGUUAGGCCAUGUAUAAAAGAAGAGGUGGUCUUAAGAAAGGCCAUGGUACCCGUGGCUGGAGGUCCUGGACACAGCCUCUCCCUCAUCUCAUCCAUGGAGAAAGUUCCCUAUAUUAGUUUGUUCUCACAUUGCUAUAAAGAACUACCCAAGCCUGGGUAAUUUAUAAAGAAAAGAGGUGUAAUUGACUCACAGCUGUGCAGGCUGUACAGGAAGCCUGGCUGGGGAGGCCUGAGGAAAUUUUCAAUCAUGGCAGAAGGUGAAGUGGAAACAAGCACAUCUUCCAUGGCUGGAGAAGGAGGGAGAGAGCGAAGGGUAAGGCACCACAUGCUUUUGAACGGCCAAGUCUUGUGAGAACUCACUCACGAUCAUGAGAACAGCCAGGAGGAAUUCUACCCCCAUGAUCAAAUCACUUACCACCAGGUCCCUCCCCCAACACUGGGGAUUAAAAUUUGACAUGAGAUUUGGUCAAGGACACAAAUCCAAACUCUGUCAUUCACCAACAUGUUAUGGCACCUACCGCUCCUUGCCUCAAUGCUCGUUUUCAGCUAGCUUCAGUUGCCAGUUUCUGGUGCUUCUUAAAUGGGUUUCUUAAAUGGUUUUCGGAGGUUAUGUAAAAAUGUGUCACCGAAAUUUGUGUGUAUGCGUGUGUGUGUGUCUGCACACAUGCACAUGAUCUCCUGGGGGAGAGAUUCAAACAUUUUCAUCAUGUUUUCAAAAGAUGCUGGGAUCCACGGAAGGUUAAUAAUUACUUCUUCUUGUGUCCUUGUUCAGCAUGGGUUCUUUCAGUGAAAUUAGGUGAAUACAUCAUAUAGCCUGACAAUGUGAAUAUAGAUUGUGCUAUAAUUUAAGUGUUUCUUCCAAGAAGCAAGUGUUGAAAGCUUAAUCGUUAAGACAACAGUGUUGGGAGGUGGGGCCUGAUGAGGUUGAUGCCAUCAUGAUGGGAGUGAGUGAGUUACUGUGAGAGCAGGCUCCUGAUAACAGGAUGAGUAUGGCCCCCUUCCACUGCUCUCUCACACACACACUCUUGCCCUUCUGCCUUUCAUCAUGUUAUGAUGUGGGAAGAAGGCCCUCGCCAGAUGCCAGCCUCUUGAUCUUGGAUUUCCCAGCCUCCAGAACUGUAAGCCAAUAAAUUUCUGUUCAUUAUAAAUUACCCAGUCUCUGCUGUUCUGUUAUAGCAGCACAAAACAGACUAAGACAGAUUGCAAACUCAAAAGGCUUUGGAAGCAAGGCGGGUAAAAUGAAGGACCGCAGCAGGUGAUCUACAAGGCAGUAGGGAGUGUUGGAGCCUGUGGGCAACUUGGAGAGUGGUGGCUUAUUUAAGGACACCUAAUUCAGUCAAAAAGUUUACAUUCAGUUCAACUGCUGGCUGAAUAUGGUUCACAGGGACUGCACUGCCAUUUAUGACAACCUUUGCUUGUUGAGAACAAGAGAGAGAGAUAGCCUCCUCCUUGUCUUUAUUUUCUGUUUAUCUGCUAGAAAUGCAGAACAAUAGUAGGUAGAUGGGAUAGGAGCUGGUCAUCACGGGUCCCAAUCAAACAAUAUCCUGACAUGAUUUACAAGGAUUAAGUCCUUUCAAAGUGUUCAGUUGAACCUAGAACAAAGUAGAGAAUUUCUGACAUGACCUGCUAGUUGUGCCCAGCACGGCAUGGCCUCUACCUGCCUCUCCCACUGUCUCUGGGCCUCUUGCUACUCUCCUCUCCUCUCACUAAGCUCCAGACUUCUUUCUUCUCUCUACAUGCAUCCGGCUCUUUUCCACAUCACAGUCUUUAUUUCUGCUCUUUUCUCUACCUGGAAAACCUUCAUAUUUACUUUCAUAGCUAACUCCUACUCAGUUCUUUAGGUUCUAGUUCAUAUUUUUUGCUUAAGGUAUUAGUAUCCUUACUGUUCAUAGACCGCAAACUUCUUGAGAGCAAGGAUCAUGCAAACCAUUUUUGCUGCUGCGCUUUCUAACACAGCGCCUGACACCCAGUAGGCACUUAAUACACAUUCCUCGAAUGAGUGCACGGCAAUAUCAAUGAUUAGAGAUGAAUAGAUGUCUGGGAAAAGCUGAUCUCUUGGGUGAGGCUUCAAGGAUGGCAGAGCCUUGGUGUGGUCACCAUAUCCCAUGGAAUGACUCUCAACUUUGUAGGUUUCUGAACCUGAGUUGUAUGUCUGUCAGGACUCAGUGAUUGAUUGACCCCCCUAAACUUAUGGGAGACUGUGGUUUAAACUAGAAUGCUGAUUUUAGAAUUCAUUAUAAGACUGGGCCCAGUGGCUCAGUCAGCAUUUUCGGAGGCUGAGGUGGGCAGAUCACCUGCAGUCAGGAGUUCAAGACCAGCCUGGCCAACCUGGUGAAACCGAGUCUCCACUAAAAUACAAAAAUUAUCCAGGCAUGGUGGUAUACACCUGUAAUCCCAGCUACUCAAGAGGCUGAGGCAGGAGAAUCACUUGAACCUGGAAGGUGCAGGUUGCCUGUGUGACAGAGUGAGACUCCAUCUCAAAAUAAAUAAAUAAAUAAAUAAAUAAAUAAAUAAAUAAAUAAAUUCAUUAUAAAACUAAAACUUCUCUUAUAUCUGAAUGCUUAGGUCAGCCCACCGACGUAUUUUCUCAUUAGACAUUGAUAAACAUGGAAGAAAAAUAGAUAGUGGAAGAAUUAGAAGAGAAUAUGGAAGCAGAAUGUGAUCUAGAGCCCUGUUUGGCCACCACAGCAGGUAUGGGAUAUGAACAGCUGAGUUAAUUGAGCAGGUUAAUGGGGAUGGCCUUGCCUUCAGUGGUAUUGGAAGGAACCUGACAAAUUAUUGAUCCAUUUCUAGACUCUAGGCUAUUGCCUAAUAAUUUGUGUUGUGUUUCCUCUGAAAAAAUAAAAGAGGAUACCAAGAUUCAAUAGAUACCAAGCACUCAUUUACAUUGCCAAGCCUUUAUUGAAUAGCUAGAUCUCCUCUUUCUGCUUUUGACCUCAGAGACAUAGUUACUUGUAAAAUGAUUUCUGCAGAUGGCUAAUCUAAUCUAAAGUAAAUUAAUUUCAAUAAACCUUCAGAAGGUGAACUUACCUUGUCUUUGACUUCGAUCCUCUGUGCUAACUUAUUAAUAAUUACUAAAUGAUUGUUGAUGGAAUCCAUACUGUUUGAAACCAGUUCGUCUUAGUUCUUUCAAGCUGCUACAACAAAAGGCCUGAGACUGUGUAGUUUAGACACAAUAAAAAUAUGCCUCACAGUUUUUUUUUUUUGAGAUGGAGUCUCGCUCUGUCGCCCGGCUGGAGUGCAGUGGCCUGAUUUCAGCUCACUGCAACCUCUGCUUCCGGGUUCAAGCGAUUCCCCUGCCUCAGCCUCUCAAGUGGCUCGGACUACAGGCUUGCACCACCACAACCAACUAAUGUUUUGUAUUUUAGUAAAGAUGGGGUUUCACCAUGUUGGCCAGGAUGGUCUCGAUUUCCUGACCUCGUGAUCUGCCUCCCUCAGUCUCCGAAAGUGCUGGGAUUAUAGGCAUGAGCCACCGCUCCUGGCCAUGCCUCACAGUUUUAGGAGCUGGAAAUCUGAUAUCAAGAUGCCACCUGACUGGGUGUCUAGUGGGAGAAUCACCUCCAGGUUGAUAGAUGGCAUCUUCUUGCUGUGUCCUCACAUGGUAGGAGGGGCCAAGGUGCUCUCUGGGGUCUUUUCCACAAAGGCAUUAAUAAUCCCAUUCACGAUGGCUGUGCCUUCCUGACUCAAUUACCUCCCAAAGGCCCUACCUCUCAAUACCAUCAAUUUGGGGUUUAGGAUUUCUACCUGUGAAUUUUGGAGGAACUCAAACAUGAGAUACGGCCCUGUGCCAUUAGGAUUUACUGCCCAUUACAUUACCUGGUGAAUGAUGAUGGGGAAAGAGGGGCCACAGUAUUAUCUAAUUUUGGCUUAUUUAAGUUGAGAUCAGUUUUCCUGGAGGUAUAAAAGCACAUGCAAACAAAGAACAGCUCAUAGUAGAAGACACAGAAAUACAGUACAUGUUCAAAGAAGCAAACCUAUGUUCUUUUAAAAUUAAUACAGUACUUCAGCAUUUCAUGCAGCUACUGGAAAAGGAAUAAGCCUUUAUCUUUUUAGUUCAUGUAAAAGCACUUUGGAAUGGAUUUUUUCAGGAUUGGGAAGUAGCAUAAAAUUAAUGUCCCUUAAAGUCACCUUAUAGAUUUUCUGUCUGAGACCCCAUUAAGGCAACCUGAGUAUUGCCAUGCUUGCAUGCUGACCAGAGUAGAAGUAUCACUCAUAUUUAGAGUUUUAAAAAAUGCAAUUACAGGAGAAAUCAACAGGUGUGGCUUUUGUUUUUUCUUUCUAAACCCCGGCUUAAAGCGCAGGCGCACAAUUCUCAGAGCAGGGGACCAUGACCAUCUCACACUUUUUAUAGGCACAUACGAGGCUCAUCAGCAGAUGCCAAGUCUCUGCUGCAAAGGCUGUAGCCCUACAAAGGCUGGAGACUGGCACGGCACAUAUUUUAUUGUGCCAGACAAUACAAAGCUGGAAGGCUGCUUUAUAUAAUUGCCUUUUGCUGUUGCAUAAAAAAGGGUGGAUGUUGGACAGGCAAAAACAAUAACUAUUUUCUAUGGUUGUCUUUAUACAUUUUAUGUAAUUUUAGAUUUGUCAUAUUAUGCCAAGAGAAAAAGUUGACAGAUCAAUGUCCAGUAGACUUGUUUUUUUUUUUUUUUUUACAUACGGCUAAACAUAAUUCAUAUGAUUAGUAGAAUAAUGUCUUUGUUCCCCACAUGAAAUCUAUGAAUUCCCAAUACCUGCAACUUGCUAAUAUUAUGUUAUUUGGAAAAAAGCAUCUUUGUAGAUGUGAUUAAGUUAAGGAUCAUGAGAUGGGAAAUUAUCCAGGUGGGCCCCAAAUGCCUUCAGAAGUGUCCUUAUAAGAGAGAGAGGCAGAAGGAGAUUUCACAGACACAUAGCUGAUGUGAAUAUGAAACAGAUUUAAAGGUGCUGCUGAACUGGAACGUGGGAAUGAUGUGGCCACAAGCUGAAGAACGUGGCCGUCACUAAAAGCUGGAAGAAACAAAGCAUAGGUUCUCCCCUAGAACCUCCAAUGGGUGUGUGGCUCUGCUGAGACCAUGAUUUUGGCUCAGUAAUGCUGAUUUAAGACUUUUCGCCUCCAGAACUAUGAGAGAAUAUAUUUCUACUGUUUUAAGUUUCUACAUUUGCAGUAAUUUGUCACAAGAAACAAAUAUAAGAAGUAGCCAAUAUAUUGACUGCAUUAGCAUUUUAGCAUUGAAAUCUUAUAAAGGUGUCAUACAUCAUCAAGAUGGGAGAAUUUAGGUUUCAUUUCCUGCUCUGCUACUAGCAACUUGCUUGCUUCCUGCCUCUAAUCGACUAUUUUUCAGUUAAGGGAGAAACGAUUUAGACAAGCUCAAGACCUUGCAAUAACUCUUUUAAUGGUCAGUUUUAUUUUUCCUUUGGCGCAAAAGGGCAUUUGUAGCCUUACUCACUGGAUGUCCUCCUAUGUGCCUUUGUGCUUUCAAAUGUUAUAUUCUUGGCUUUUUCUAGGACCAUCGUGGCUCACUAGUUUCACACUCCUUGACUCGAUAUUCAGCUCCAAUUUUCAUUCUGUUUAACUGAAAGAACUGCGUGGUUCACAGAGACCUGGACAUACAACCGUUAGAAUUAAAUUAGCACGCAAGAGUGCCCUGAUGAUCUUCACAAAGACGCAGAACCCAAGUGCUUUGGAAUUGUUUUAGCACCCGGUUUGGAGCCAAACAGUCUCACAACUCCCACGAUGACCCAGCUUUUUUUACACCUCUUAAAGUUGCAAUAUGAGUUUUGUCUUCCCAAGGGUAAUUUUGGUUUCUUACAAAGGUAAGAAAGAAAAGUAUGGAAAAUGAUUAAAAUAAAAAAGGGGGCAUACAAGGGGCAAAUAUCUUCAAAAAAACCUGUGUCUUUGCUUAAAAUGAUAUAGAGAAGACAGUGAAAGAACCAAACUGUCACAGCAAAUUCUUUACAAAUUAAUGCCAUGAUUCCUCAGUACUGUCAAAAUUACAGUUCUGGAGAGGCUAUGAAAACAACUUCCAUUCUGAUGACAUGGAAUCAUUAUAUUUUUGUGACUAUAUAGCUGACAAUAAAAGGAGCAAUGAAAGCAAUUCUCAAGAAAUGUAGGUAGAUUUGCAGAACUCUAGGUGGACAGGUAUCAUUCAUGCAUAUUGACAAUUAGCAAUAUGGAGAUAGUUCUUAUGGAACUUACGUGCUACACAAAAUACAACUUAAAGUUGGUUAUGCGUCAGUUUCCUUUCAACUGAGAUCUUCCAAAUUCUUGGAUUGAAGUUCUUAUACAUUACAUGGAUUCAAUGUACCCAAUCUGAUUGCUGGGUUUUUUUUUUUUGGAUGCAUUUUUUAAGUCUUAUGAAAUGAGUAUAUUAUUAUUUUUAAUAAUGCUUUUAUAUUAGCUAAUGGAUAAUUUUAAACCUUCAAUAGAGAACAUUUGGAAUGAUUGUCAAAGAGUGAUAACAUAUAUACUAUAAUUUAAAUGUUUGCUUCCUCAAACUCAGAUUGAAAUUUAAUUGCCACAUUUAAUUGCCAGCAUAAUGGCAUUGGGAGGGGGGCCUUUAAGAAGUAAUUGGGCCAUGAGGGCUCCACCUUCGUGGUUGAGUUUAAUGUCUUAAUAAAAGGGCUUUAAGGAGUGAUCUCUCUCAGCUCUUUUGCUCUUCUGCCAUGUGAGGAAGCGUGUUCCUCUCCUCUGGCGGAAGCAGCAUUUGAGAGGACAUCUGGGAGCAGAGACUGGGCCUUCACCAAGACUGAACAUGUUGGCCCUUAAUAUUGGACUUUCCGGCCUUCAGAACUAUGAGCCAAUAAAUUUCUGUUAAUUAUAAAUUAUCCAAUCUGUGGUGUUCUGUUAUGGCAAUACAAACCAACACAAUAUGCUUUUAUUGACAAGUGUAGUGUGUCACUGUGGUGACAUGUCUAUUGGUAGACAUAUCUACUGUUCACAUUUUAUGCUGAAAAGUGAUUCAUUAUCGAAGGAAAAAAUACAAUUCUCUCACACCCCGGUUUAUAACUAAAUAUGAUUGUAUUUAAUAAAAUUAAUUCAAAUCUAAUUUCUGGUAGAAUAUGCUGAUAUCUAAUUUUGAUUUUGAUACUAUAUGAGUUUGAUCAUUUCAAAUUAAUGGAAAUGGUCAAGCUAUUAGGACUUAAGACAAUAGCAUGUAUUAUUCUCUUUCUAAUACUUCAUCAUGGAUAAGCUACUAUACAUUUCUAAAUAUUUAUAAUUUCCAGUUAUUCAAUUAAUUAGUGCUUAAUUAUUAACUCAUUUUAAGUGGCCUUUGCAUGUGGCUCAGUCAUUCAAAUGAGGCUAAUGUCUAUCUUGAAUUUGGGGUUACUUUAUACUCUAUUCUCUAGCUAAAUUUUGUUUGCUGUAUCUUUAUUACAUUUCAUAUAUCUGCAAAGCAGACAGCAAAACAUAACAAUGAAAGACAUUAAAAACUGAUUAAAGGUCAUGAAAUCAGUACUCAAGUUUCCGCUCGAAUCACUUCAUGAAGAUUAUCUAACAUGAGAGGACCCCAUCUACUAAAAAUUCCUUAUCCUGAAGUUAUACACAUAUGUAUGAGCUCCUCAUCAAAUGAUCUCUAGUCUCAGGUCUCAGACUACUGUUUAGGUUUCCAUUUCAUAUAUCAAUAGGUGCAAUAUGCUGCUUGCUGAAAUAUUAUUCCAUCUAGCAACGAGAAUGCUGCUGGUGAUACAGAAUUAUUUGCUAGUUAAUUAGACAAUAUCAUAAGAUAAAGUUUUCUCCAACCAUGCUUCUCUCUCAAGACUAGUAUAAACAAAUGCCAAAUAUUUCAAUGGAAAUGAACUGGUAUGGUGUUUCAAACUACGUAUAAAAGUAAAAAAUUAUAGUGAAUUAUUUAAAAU
rnacentral:lncRNA from 1 species